AUGGAUCCCUUCGUUUCUGACCCCACCGAUCCUGUGACAACCAGCCCCAAAACGCAGGGACAAGAGGAAGAGGGCCUUGGAGCCGACCCCUCCUUCAAUUCCCUUACCACUGAGUCCGUCGUCGGGAGCCCCGACGCGGAGGGCGGCGCCGCCGCCACACAGGCGGACGAUGAGGCGGAGAGUGGGGCGCCCGGCUCCUCUUCCCCGCCCCGACCGCCGCCGAGCAUCUCCGGGCGCCGCGAUCCUCUCAGGGCCGCGUGCUUCCGGAGGCUGGCCGCCUCCUGCGAAGCCCGCCGACUCCGCGAGGCGGAGCUCUUCCGUGCGUCUAAACUGCCCGCGGAGAAGGCUGAUGACCCCGACGAGCCAAUCUGGCCACCAAAAAGCCGCCAUUGGUGGCGCUUCGUGGAACUAAAAACUAUGGGGUCCAGCCCGGCUAAUCCUGGGCCCAACCCUGAUGAGAGUUCAUUAUCUCAUAUCAAGAGCCAAGAUAUGUUAGCUGAUAAGGUUGUGGACCAAUGGGAUGACAGUGACACUGAAAACUCCUCUGGAAGUGCAUCAUAUCAAGUUGUUCCUUACAAGAAUGCCCAAGGAGAAAACACCUUACCUGUGCUGUCUAAAAAAAGGAAAUUCAUUAUUAGUACAUAUUCUGUGCAAUGUAGUACUUGCCAGAAAUGGAGAGUUGUACCAUCCAAACUGAAAUAUGAGCAAAUCCGAGAGAAUAUUAUACAAGUUCCUUUUUCUUGCAAAUAUGUCCAUGGGUGGAAGCCACAAGUUACAUGCCAUGAUCCAACUGAUAUAUCUAAGGAUAAUGGCAUGGCAUGGGCAAUUGAUAUCCCAUGCAUCCCUCAGACCCCUCUUGGGUGGGAAAGGAAUAUUACUCUAAGGAAUGAACAGAGCACGAGAUUCGCUGAUGUGUACUAUAUCUCUCCCGCAGGCAGAAAAGUAAGAUCCAUGAAAGAUGUUGAAAGGUAUCUUGAAGACAGCCCAGACUAUGCUGCCCGCUUACAGUUAUCUCAGUUUUCGUUCAGGGUACCUAAACCUCCAAAUUGCCCUCGUCAGUCAGAGCUUAUUGAACCAACUGAAGUGCCACCUCCGGUUCACGAGGAUCCCGUGCACAACUACAUGCCGGUCCCUCAUGGAGAAGCCAAUCAUUUAACUCAUAUACCAGUUAUACUAGCUCUACAAGUACCAGUGAUGCUCUCCAAAAAGAGAAAACUAAACCAGUGA
rnacentral:rRNA from 1 species